rnacentral:rRNA from 1 species
UACGUAGGGGGCAAGCGUUGUCCGGAUUUAUUGGGCGUAAAGAGCUCGUAGGUGGUUUGGUAAGUCGGAUGUGAAAUCUCCAGGCUCAACCUGGAGGGGUCAUUCGAUACUGCCAUGACUAGAGGUCGGUAGGGGAGUGUGGAAUUCCUGGUGGAGCGGUGAAAUGCGCAGAUAUCAGGAGGAACACCAGUGGCGAAGGCGACUUCCUGGCCUGUUCUUGACGCUGAGGCGCGAAAGCUAGGGGAGCAAACGGG